rnacentral:rRNA from 1 species
UGAAGUCGUGGAUAAUCUGGAAAAAUCUAAGCUAAUACACGAUAUGUUCUACGGAAUAAAGAUUUAUCGCUUCAAGAGGAGCCUGUGUCCUAUCAGCUUGUUGGUGAAGUAAUAGCUCACCAAGGCUAUGACGGGUAGGGGGUAUGAGAGUAUGGCCCCCAACAUUGGAACUGAGACACUGUCCAAACACCUACGGGUGGCUGCAGUCGAGAAUAUUCCACAAUGGACGAAAGUCUGAUGGAGCGACGCCGCGUGCGGGAUGAAGGUCUUAGGAUUGUAAACCGCUUUUUUCAGGGAGCAAUUUCGAUGAGAGUACCUGAAGAAUAAGAGGUUACUAACUCUGUGCCAGCAGUAGCGGUAAUACAGAGACCUCAAGCGUUAUCCGGAUUUAUUGGGCGUAAAGGGUAGGUAGGCGGUCUGGUUAGUCGGAUGUUAAAGCUCGGAGCUUAACCCCGAAUCUGCAUUCGAAACGGCCAGACUAGAGGAUGUGAGAGAUCAGUGGAAUUGAUGGUGUAGUAGUGAAAUGCGUUGAUAUCAUCAAGAACACCCAAGGCGAAGGCAACUGAUUGGCACAUAUCUGACGCUCAACUACGAAAGCGUGGGUAGCGAAUGGGAUUAGAUACCCCAGUAGUCCACGCCCUAAACGAUGCAUACUAGGUGCAGGGAGAAUCGACCCUUUCUGUGCCGCAGCUAACGCGUUAAGUAUGCCGCCUGGGAAGUACGAUCGCAAGAUUAAAACUCAAAUGAA